GACGAACGCUGGCGGCGUGCUUAACACAUGCAAGUCGAACGGACAGGCCCUGCUUUUGUGGGGUGCUCGAGUGGCGAACGGGUGAGUAACACGUGAGUAACCUGCCCUUGACUUUGGGAUAACUUCAGGAAACUGGGGCUCAUACCGGAUAGGAGCUCCUGCUGCAUGGUGGGCGUUGGAAAGUUUCGGCGGUUGGGGAUGGACUCGCGGCUUAUCAGCUUGUUGGUGGGGUAGUGGCUUACCAAGGCUUUGACGGGUAGCCGGCCUGAGCGGGUGACCGGCCACACUGGGACUGAGAUACGGCCAAGACUCCGACGGGAGGCAGCAGGGGGGAAUAUUGCACGAUGGGCGGAAGCCUGAGGCAGCAACGCCGCGUGCGGGAUGACGGCCGUCGGGUUGUAAACCGAUUUCGCCUGGGACGAAGCGUGAGUGACGGUAAUGGGUAAAGAAGCACCGGCUAACUACGUG
rnacentral:rRNA from 1 species